rnacentral:lncRNA from 1 species
ACAGCUACUACACAACUACCAUCUUUGUUAUCGCUUGGCCUGCCACUACCCAAGAACCCCUACCAUCACUAUUUCAACAACCUUCAUGCUUCUUUUUUUUCAAAUAUAUUUCAUUCAAGAUUAGAGGACAAACCCCAAAAGCAUACAAAAGCCCAAAAUCCAAGAAAAAUGAAUUGGGUAGAAAUAGAUUUUUAGGGUCUAAAAAAUAAGAAACCCGUGAAGAAAAGAACCUUAAAAACUCGGCCCAAAUAUAAUCCGAAAACCCAACCCGGCUGCUCUUAAUCAAAACCGCCACUCUCCCAUCUCUGGUCGUCCCGUCCACUGGAACUAGCUGCGAUCAAGGCGGCAGAGAACAACUCCAUCUACUGCAACCCAAGGGCCGACACAAUCAAAAGAAGAACCAUGAAAUUAAAAGCCAAGAAAAAUUACUAGCAGCUACCCAACAGGUACCAAGACCAGAACUCAAGGAGGAGGACGUCUCAAGCAAUAUUCAGUGCAUGCAAUACCAAAUCGAGUGGAGAUGAAGGCCAUUGACACUAUCGAGUGAUGGAAAAUCCUCAGAAUCAACAAAUCCCGUCGCCUGGGUCAGAGCUUACACCCGUCCAGGAGAACCAUCCCAACUGGAACACGGACAGGCAGAAAGUCAGUAGCUUUCUCCCGGUGCAUGCAGGCCUCAUUCAUCAGAAAACGCCAUUGAAACCACCUGCAUGCAAAAAACUGAAAAUAAGAGACAAAGAAGAAAAGACACAGCAGAUCAAACAAACCGUUUUCCAUAAGCUCAUAUAUGCUCAAAAUCAGAAAGAAAAAUUAUUUAUCUACACCACACCUCACCCAAAGAAAAGGGGAGGGGGAACCCGAACCUUCAUGAUUCAAGCAACGUCACAAUAUGAGGAGAACCAUUCUCAUCACCACCGCUCGAUCACACAUCAAUUACACAAUCAUUCCCGCUCCUUUAUUUUUAUCCUCACAAAUAAAUUAA